UAUUGGGGCGUAAGCGCGCGCAGGUGGUUUCUUAAGUCUGAUGUGAAAGCCCACGGCUCAACCGUGGAGGGUCAUUGGAAACUGGGAGACUUGAGUGCAGAAGAGGAAAGUGGAAUUCCAUGUGUAGCGGUGAAAUGCGUACAGAUAUGGAGGAACACCAGUGGCGAAGGCGACUUUCUGGUCUGUUACUGACACUGAGGCGCGAAAGCGUGGGGAGGAAACCAGAUU
rnacentral:rRNA from 1 species